GCCCCGGUGGCGGAAUUGGUAGACGCGCCGGACUUAAAAUCCUGUGGCCAGCAUUGGCCGUGCGGGUUCAAGUCCCGCCCGGGGCA
rnacentral:tRNA from 1 species